GGGGGCGAAAACAACUUGUU
rnacentral:misc_RNA from 1 species